AACGAACGCUGGCGGCAUGCCUAACACAUGCAAGUCGAACGAGACCUUCGGGUCUUGUGGCGCACGGGUGCGUACCGCGUGGGAACCUGCCCUUAGGUUCGGAAUACCUCCCCGACAGGGGUGCUAAUACCGGAUAGUCUCUUCGGACCAAAGAUUUAUCGCCUUGGGAUGGGCCCGCGUUGGAUUAGCUCGUUGGUAGGGUAAAAGCCUACCACGGCGACGAUCCAUAGCUGGUCUGAGAGGAUGAUCAGCCACACUGGGACUGAGACACGGCCCAGACUCCUACGCGAGGGAGCAGAGGGGAAUAUUGGACAAGGGGCGAAAGCCUGAUCCAGCAAUGCCGCGUGAGUGAUGAAGGCCUUAGGGUUGUAAAGCUCUUUUACCCGGGAUGAUAAUGACAGUACCGGGAGAAUAAGCUCCGGCUAACUCCGUG
rnacentral:rRNA from 1 species